rnacentral:rRNA from 1 species
GUAGGUGGCAAGCGUUGUCCGGAAUUACUGGGCGUAAAGCGCGCGCAGGCGGUCCUUUAAGUCUGAUGUGAAAGCCCACGGCUCAACCGUGGAGGGUCAUUGGAAACUGGGGGACUUGAGUACAGAAGAGGAAAGCGGAAUUCCAAGUGUAGCGGUGAAAUGCGUAGAGAUUUGGAGGAACACCAGUGGCGAAGGCGGCUUUCUGGUCUGUAACUGACGCUGAGGCGCGAAAGCGUGGGGAGCAAACAGGGAUUAGAUACCCUGGUAGUCCACGCCGUAAACGAUGAGUGCUAAGUGUUAGGGGGUUUCCCGCCCCUUAGUGCUGCAGCUAACGCAUUAAGCACUCCGCCUGGGGAGUACGGCCGCAAGGCUG